UGGACCUCGUGAGGCCCAUGUGGCGUCAGUCGGAAAUGUUCACCUGCAAGGAAUGUAAAAUAUGUUUUUUUGUUUCUUUUUUUUUUUCAGGUAUUCUGCAAACACCUUUAAUUAAUAGUGCCCAUUAUGCAUUUUUCAUGACAAAUUCCUCCCAUCCAAAGGGUUGGAGUAACCUUUUGAGUGUUCUAUAUGAGAGAGUAGUUUCAUUCUUAUUUUGUAUAUUGGCAAUAUACUAAAUAAUGGUUUUGGAAGGAGGCCUUGCCAAGAAUGUGCCCCCUCUUGGUAGGGCUUGGUCACAAUAGCAACUCUGAUAGUUCCGUCACUGUAGUUACCCUACUUCUGAGGUUAAUUAAUUUCAUUUGCUUUUUCUGAUCUG